CCCGCUGAACUUAAGCAUAUCAAUAAGCGGAGGAAAAGAAACUAACAAGGAUUCCCCUAGUAACUGCGAGUGAAGCGGGAAAAGCUCAAAUUUAAAAUCUGGCGGUCUCGCGGCCGUCCGAGUUGUAAUCUGGAGAAGCGUUUAUCCGCGUCGGACCGUGUACAAGUCUUCUGGAAGGGAGCGUCAUAGAGGGUGAGAAUCCCGUCUUUGACACGGACAACCGGUGCUUUUGCGAUGCGCUCUCGAAGAGUCGAGUUGUUUGGGAAUGCAGCUCAAAAUGGGUGGUGAACUCCAUCUAAAGCUAAAUAUUGGCGAGAGACCGAUAGCGAACAAGUACCGUGAGGGAAAGAUGAAAAGAACUUUGGAAAGAGAGUUAAACAGUACGUGAAAUUGCUGAAAGGGAAACGCUUGAAGUCAGUCGCGUCAUUCAGGGAUCAACCUUGCUUUUGCUUGGUGUACUUUCUGGUUGACGGGUCAGCAUCAAUUUUGACCAUUGGAAAAAGAUUAAGGGAAUGUGGCAUACAUAGUGAUGUGUUAUAGCCCUUGGUUGCAUACAAUGGUUGGGAUUGAGGAACUCAGCACGCCGCAAGGCCGGGUUUUUAUUAACCACGUACGUGCUUAGGAUGUUGGCAUAAUGGCUUUAAUCGACCCGUCUUGAAACACGG
rnacentral:rRNA from 1 species